rnacentral:rRNA from 1 species
AGAGUUUGAUCCUGGCUCAGGAUGAACGCUAGCGACAGGCCUAACACAUGCAAGUCGAGGGGCAGCAUGAAAUUAGCUUGCUAAUUUUGAUGGCGACCGGCGCACGGGUGAGUAACACGUAUGCAACCUGCCUGUAAGCGGGGGAUAACCCGGAGAAAUUCGGACUAAUACCGCAUAAUAUCAUUAGAUCGCAUGUUUUAAUGAUUAAAAAUUUAUUGCUUACAGAUGGGCAUGCGUAUGAUUAGCUAGUUGGCGGGGUAACGGCCCACCAAGGCGACGAUCAUUAGGGGUUCUGAGAGGAAGGUCCCCCACAUUGGAACUGAGACACGGUCCAAACUCCUACGGGAGGCAGCAGUGAGGAAUAUUGGUCAAUGGACGCAAGUCUGAACCAGCCAUGUCGCGUGAAGGAUGACUGUCCUAUGGAUUGUAAACUUCUUUUAUAUGGGGAUAAAGUGUGAGACUUGUCUCAUUUUGCAUGUACCAUAUGAAUAAGCAUCGGCUAACUCCGUGCCAGCAGCCGCGGU